UACGUAGAAGACUAGUGUUAUUCAUCUUUAGUAGGUUUAAAGGGUACCUAGACGGUAUAAUUAGUCUUAAAUAGGAUACAAUUAUACUAGAGUUAUAUAUGAGAAGGUGAGUAUUUUUGGAGUAGAGUUGAAAUUCUUUGAUACCUUAACGACUGAUAAACUGGCGAAAGCAACCUUUUAUCUAAUAACUGACGUUGAGGGACGAAGGCUCGGGUCACGAACAGG
rnacentral:rRNA from 1 species